rnacentral:rRNA from 1 species
CACGCUGUAAACGAUGUGUGCUAGAUGUUGGGUAACUUAGUUACUCAGUGUCGCAGUUAACGCGUUAAGCACACCGCCUGGGGAGUACGGCCGCAAGGUUGAAACUCAAAGGAAUUGACGGGGGCCCGCACAAGCAGCGGAGCAUGUGGUUUAAUUCGAAGCAACGCGAAGAACCUUACCUGGACUUGACAUACCCUGAAUAUCUUAGAGAUAAGAGAAGCCCUUCGGGGCAGGGAUACAGGUGG